GGCCAUAUCAGGCCGGCGGUGGCGGUGACAGGUAGGUACCAAGCGUUGUCCGGGUUUAUUGCGCGUAAAGAGCUGGUAGGCGGUUUGUCGCGUCUGCAGGGAAAAUCCGGGGCGCAACCCCGGACUUGCUGUGGGUACGGGCAGACUAGAGUAUGGUAGGGGAGACCGGAAUGCCUGGUGUAGCGGUGGAAUGCGCAGAUAUCAGGAGGAACACCGAUGGCGAAGGCAGGUCUCUGGGCCAUAACUGACGCUGAGAAGCGAAAGCAUGGGGAGCGAACAGGAUUAGAUACCCUUGUAGUC
rnacentral:rRNA from 1 species